rnacentral:rRNA from 1 species
AUUGAACGCUGGCGGAAUGCUUUACACAUGCAAGUCGAACGGCAGCACGGGGCAACCUGGUGGCGAGUGGCGAACGGGUGAGUAAUACAUCGGAACGUGCCCAGUCGUGGGGGAGUAACGUAGCGAAGUUACGCUAAUACCGCAUACGAUCUAUGGAUGAAAGACGGGGGAGUCGCAAGACCUCGCGCGAUUGGAGCGGCCGAUGUCAGAUUAGGUAGUUGGUGGGGUAAAGGCCCUACCAAGCCGACGAUCUGUAGCUGGUCUGAGAGGACGACCAGCCACACUGGGACGUGAGACACGGCCCAGACUCCUA